rnacentral:rRNA from 1 species
GGAGGUCCGAACCCACGAGCGUUGAAAAGCUCGGGGAUGACUUGUGGGUAGCGGUGAAAUUCCAAUCGAGCCCGGAGAUAGCUGGUUCUCCCCGAAAUAGCGUUAGGGCUAGCCUCAAGGUGAGAGAUACGGAGGUAGAGCACUGAAUGUCCUAGGGGGUAUUGCACCUACCGAAGACUAUCAAACUCCGAAUGCCGUCAUCUUAUACUUGGGAGUCAGACUGUGGGUGAUAAGAUUCAUAGUCGAAAGGGCAACAGCCCAGAUCGUCAGCUAAGGUCCCUAAAUGUAAGUUAAGUGGUAAAGGAUGUGGGAUUGCACAGACAACCAGGAUGUUGGCUUAGAAGCAGCCACUCAUUCAAAGAGUGCGUAAUAGCUCACUGGUCGAGUGAUCCUGCGCCGAAGAUUUCCGGGGCUAAAACUUACUACCGAAGCUACGGCAUCAGUAAUGAUGGGUAGGGGAGCUUCCCAUACGGGUUGAAGCAUGACCGUAAGGACAUGUGGACAGUAUGGGAGUGAGAAUGUUGGCAUGAGUAGCGAGAUGUGGGUGAGAAUCCCACAGGCCGUAAACCCAAGGUUUCCAGGGGAAGGUUCGUCCGCCCUGGGUUAGUCGGGACCUAAGCUGAGGCCGAAAGGCGUAGGGGAUGGACAACAGGUUGAUAUUCCUGUACUACCGAUAACCGUUUGAGAGAAGGGAUGACACAGUAGGAUAAGCUAAGCACACUGUUGGUUAUGUGUGCCCAAGCAUUGAGGCAGUCAAAGUAGGCAAA